AUUGAACGCUGGCGGCAUGCUUUACACAUGCAAGUCGAACGGUAACAGGUCUUCGGAUGCUGACGAGUGGCGAACGGGUGAGUAAUGCAUCGGAACGUGCCCAGUCGUGGGGGAUAGCGCAGCGAAAGCUGUGCUAAUACCGCAUACGAUCUAUGGAUGAAAGCGGGGGACCGUAAGGCCUCGCGCGAUUGGAGCGGCCGAUGUCAGAUUAGCUAGUUGGUGGGGUAAAGGCCCACCAAGGCGACGAUCUGUAGCUGGUCUGAGAGGACGACCAGCCACACUGGGACGGAGACACGGCCCAGACUCCUACGGGAGGCAGCAGUGGGGAAUUUUGGACAAUGGGCGCAAGCCUGAUCCAGCAAUGCCGCGUGCAGGAAGAAGGCCUUCGGGUUGUAAACUGCUUUUGUACGGAACGAAAAGGUUCGGGUUAAUACCCUGGGCUCAUGACGGUACCGUAAGAAUAAGCACCGGCUAACUACGUGCCAGCCGCCGCGGUAACAC
rnacentral:rRNA from 1 species